rnacentral:rRNA from 1 species
UACGAAGGGGGCUAGCGUUGUUCGGAAUUACUGGGCGUAAAGCGCGCGCAGGCGGUUUUGUAAGUUGGGGGUGAAAUCCCCGGGCUCAACCCGGGAAUUGCCUUCAAGACUGCAAAGCUAGAGGACGAGAGAGGUGAGUGGAAUUCCCAGUGUAGAGGUGAAAUUCGUAGAUAUUGGGAAGAACACCGGUGGCGAAGGCGGCUCACUGGCUCGUUUCUGACGCUGAGGCGCGAAAGCGUGGGGAGCAAACAGG